rnacentral:tRNA from 1 species
UCCCUGGUGGUCCAGUGGUUAGGACUUUGCCUUCCAAUGCAGACGGUAUGGGUUCAAUCCCUGGUCAGGGAG